rnacentral:tRNA from 1 species
GAAGAGGUGGCCGAGUGGUCCAAGGCGCCGCAAGCCUGUGCUAGUCCAGUUUGAUUCUCUCCGAGUCAACUAUUCUGCGGUCUGUUCUAAGGACAGUCGUGGGUUCAAAUCCCUCCCUCUUCU